GGGGUCGUAGCUCAAUUGGUAGAGCGCUACAAUGGCAUUGUAGAGGUCGGGGGUUCGAUUCCCCCCGGCUCCACCA
rnacentral:tRNA from 1 species